rnacentral:rRNA from 1 species
GCGAAUGGUGGAUGCCUUGACUGGUAAAGGCGAUGAAGGACGUACUAGACUGCGAUAAGCUACGGGGAGCUGUCAAGAAGCUUUGAUCCGUAGAUUUCCGAAUGGGGCAACCCAAUGUAUAGAGAUAUACAUUACCUAUAUAGGAGCGAACGAGGGGAAUUGAAACAUCUUAGUACCCUCAGGAAAAGAAAUCAAUAGAGAUUGCGUCAGUAGCGGCGAGCGAAAGCGCAAGAGGGCAAACCCAGUGCUUGCACUGGGGGUUGUAGGACUGCAAUGUGCAAGAGGUAAGUUUAGCAGAACAUUCUGGAAAGUAUAACCAUAGAGGGUGAUAGUCCCGUAUGCGAAAAACAAACCUUAGCUAGCAGUAUCCUGAGUAGGGCGGGACACGAGGAAUCCUGUCUGAAUCCGGGUCGACCACGAUCCAACCCUAAAUACUAAUACCAGAUCGAUAGUGCACAAGUACCGUGAGGGAAAGGUGAAAAGAACUGAGGUGAUCAGAGUGAAAUAGAACCUGAAACCAUUUGCUUACAAUCAUUCAGAGCCCUAUGUAGCAAUACAGGGUGAUGGACUGCCUUUUGCAUAAUGAGCCUGCGAGUUGUGGUGUCUGGCAAGGUUAAGCAAACGCGAAGCCGUAGCGAAAGCGAGUCUGAAUAGGGCGCUUAGUCAGAUGCUGCAGACCCGAAACGAAGUGAUCUAUCCAUGAGCAAGUUGAAGCUAGUGUAAGAACUAGUGGAGGACUGAACCCAUAGGCGUUGAAAAGCCCCGGGAUGACUUGUGGAUAGGGGUGAAAGGCCAAUCAAACUUCGUGAUAGCUGGUUCUCUCCGAAAUAUAUUUAGGUAUAGCGUUGUGUCGUAAUAUAAGGGGGUAGAGCACUGAAUGGGCUAGGGCAUACACCAAUGUACCAAACCCUAUCAAA